rnacentral:rRNA from 1 species
UACGUAGGGUCCGAGCGUUGUCCGGAAUUACUGGGCGUAAAGAGCUCGUAGGUGGUUUGUCGCGUUGUUCGUGAAAACCCGGGGCUCAACCCCGGGCCUGCAUUCGAUACGGGCAGACUAGAGUUCGGUAGGGGAGUCUGGAAUUCCUGGUGUAGCGGUGAAAUGCGCAGAUAUCAGGAGGAACACCGGUGGCGAAGGCGGGACUCUGGGCCGAUACUGACGCUGAGGAGCGAAAGCGUGGGGAGCAAACAGG